rnacentral:snRNA from 1 species
GGAUGUGAGGGCAAUCCGGCUGUGAUAUCUGUCACCCCAUUGAUGGCCAGGGUUGAUUGGGCUGUUCUGGCUGGCUAGGCGGGUGUCCCCUUCCUCCUUCGCCGCUCAGGUGCGUCCCUCCCGAAGCUGCGCGCUCGGUCGCAGAGGUCAACCAUGCCCGAUAGAGGAGGACCGUUCUUGGGUCAAGGGUAUACGAGUAGCUGUGCUCCCCUGCUAGAACCUCCAAACAAAAAGUGUGUGGGCAUACAUGUACACACACACACACGGACAUAGAUGUCAUUUAACUGUGUCCCGU